rnacentral:lncRNA from 1 species
GAUGAGAGAGGUUGCCGAUGAAUUUCUUCAAAAACUUCACUGAAAAAGGGGAAAAAUAGAAAUUGUUAUCAAAACUCCAAAAAAGUCGUUAUCUACUCCUCCGUUUUAAAAGCAUCAUAAAGAAAUGACUUUGGAAAUGAGAUUUUUGAAGUAAUGGGCUUAGCUAAGUUGGCUAAAACGGAUGUGCUCUCAACUCUGCACUUGAGUUCAAAUCCUCAUCUCCGCAAUUUAGAUUAGAUUAAAAUAAAAUAUCGCUUGUAUAAAAUAAAAAAAUAAAAAAAUAAAACCUUACUGAAAAUGACUCAACUUGUGACCUAAAUGCACUUGUAUGUCGUGCAAUGGCACACGUGCUCUGUUUUUUGUUUUGGUUGCUAAAGGGGGCCCAAAAGACCAAACCGAGAGCAUGACUUUCUCACUUUCUAAAAAUUAGAAACUAUUCCAGACAUCAGCUUAAAGCGUCAUGCAUGGAGUGUGAUGAAGGGAUCCUUGAUUCAAUUCCCAUAUGUAAUGAAAAAAAAAACUAUUUCU